rnacentral:rRNA from 1 species
GCCGUGACAUCGCCGGAGGGCAUCUAGGAUUAGAGUUUGAUCCUGGCUCAGAUUGAACGCUGGCGGCAGGCCUAACACAUGCAAGUCGAACGGUAACAGGAAGCAGCUUGCUGCUUCGCUGACGAGUGGCGGACGGGUGAGUAAUGUCUGGGAAACUGCCUGAUGGAGGGGGAUAACUACUGGAAACGGUAGCUAAUACCGCAUAAUGUCGCAAGACCAAAGAGGGGGACCUUCGGGCCUCUUGCCAUCGGAUGUGCCCAGAUGGGAUUAGCUAGUAGGUGGGGUAACGGCUCACCUAGGCGACGAUCCCUAGCUGGUCUGAGAGGAUGACCAGCCACACUGGAACUGAGACACGGUCCAGACUCCUACGGGAGGCAGCAGUGGGGAAUAUUGCACAAUGGGCGCAAGCCUGAUGCAGCCAUGCCGCGUGUAUUGGAAGAAGGCCUUCGGGUUGUAAAGUACUUUCAACGGGGACGGAGGCGAAUAAGGUUAAUAACCUUGUGGAUUGACGUUACCCGCAGAAGAAGCACCGGCUAACUCCGUGCCAGCAGGCCGCGGUAAUACGGAGGGUGCCAAGCGUUAAUCGGAAUUACUGGGCGUAAAGCGCACGCAGGCGGUCUGUCAAGUCGGAUGUGAAAUCCCCGGGCUCAAACCUGGGAACCUGCAUUCGAAACUGGCAGGCUAGAGUCUUGUAGAGGGGGGUAGAAUUUCCAGGUGUAGCGGUGAAAUGCGUAGAGAUCCUGGAGGAAUACCGGUGGCGAAGGCGGCCCCCUGGACAAAGACUGACGCUCAGGUGCGAAAGCGUGGGGAGCAAACAGGAUUAGAUACCCUGGUAGUCCACGCCGUAAACGAUGUCGACUUGGAGGUUGUGCCCUUGAGGCGUGGCUUCCCGGAGCUAACGCGUUAAGUCGACCGCCCUGGGGAGUACGGCCGCAAGGUUAAAACUCAAAUGAAUUGACGGGGGCCCGCACAAGCGGUGGAGCAUGUGGUUUAAUUCGAUGCAACGCGAAGAACCUUUACCUACUCUUGACAUCCAGAGAACUUAGCAGAGAUGCUUUGGUGCCUUCGGGAACUCUGAGAACAGGUGCUGCAUGGCUGUCGUCAGCUCGUGUUUGGUGAAAUGGUGGAUUAAGUUCCCGCCAACGGAGCGCAACCCUUAUCCUUUGUUGCCAGCGGUCAGGCCGGGAACUCAAAGGAGACCUUGCCAGGUGUAUAAACUGGAGGAAGGUGGGGAUGACGUCAAGUCAUCAUGGCCCUUACGAGUAGGGCUACACACGUGCUACAAUGGCGCAUACAAAGAGAAGCGACCUCGCGAGAGCAAGCGGACCUCAUAAAGUGCGUCGUAGUCCGGAUUGGAGUCUGCAACUCGACUCCAUGAAGUCGGAAUCGCUAGUAAUCGUGGAUCAGAAUGCCACGGUGAAUACGUUCCCGGGCCUUGUACACACCGCCCGUCACACCAUGGGAGUGGGUUGCAAAAGAAGUAGGUAGCUUAACCUUCGGGAGGGCGCUUACCACUUUGUGAUUCAUGACUGGGGUGAAGUCGUAACAAGGUAACCGUAA